rnacentral:snRNA from 1 species
AAAUGUGAGGGUUAUCUAGUUAAGACACCACCUAGGUCCCCAGGGUUGAUCAACUGAUCUUGUUGGUUAGGCAGGAGUCUCAUUCUUCCUUCACUGCUCCNUGAAUAUGUUCCUCAACCUGAGUCCUUGGUCAAAGCCUUUUAUUUUCAAGUGUAUAGGAGUAGUUUUGUUUCCCUGAUUGACCCUCCAAACAAUUGUUCAAAAAUAUUUAUUCUAAAAAGUAGACUAACAAAAUUUGUAAUGAUCUUGAUGAAAUCACCAAAUGAAUGAUAUGCUGUGGGGU